UUGGAGAAUUCAGUCCAAUCUGUCAUGUGGAAAUUUACAUCAAUCUAACAUUCCUCAAGCUGGAAAAGAUCUUAUGAGUCUUCUACCUCAACCCUUUCAUUUCAAGAUGUGGAAACUAAGGCUCAAAGAGAUAAAGUGACUUGUGCAAGAUUCCAGCUCCAGGUGGCGACCCUUCUUACGCGCCUGCCGCAAGGACCUCUUGACCUUCUUCACACGCUCCCGGAGCUGCCGGUUGCGCUUCUCCAGGGUGGCCACUUUCUGCUGCAGUUUCUUGACGUGGUCCUCCUCCUCGAACAGGGCCUUCUGCACCGAGGAGCACAUGAGCUAGAGGCAGAGACAGCGUGCAAGGAGAGGAGUCAUCGGUCUGUACACUUCCCGUGAGUAUUUCAUGGGAGCUGGAGGAGGG